rnacentral:rRNA from 1 species
UCAGGCCUAACACAUGCAAGUCGAACGGCAGCACGGGUGCUUGCACCUGGUGGCGAGUGGCGAACGGGUGAGUAAUACAUCGGAACGUACCUUAUCGUGGGGGAUAACGCAGCGAAAGUUGCGCUAAUACCGCAUACGCCCUGAGGGGGAAAGCGGGGGACCGUAAGGCCUCGCGCGAUUAGAGCGGCCGAUGUCUGAUUAGCUUGUUGGUGAGGUAAAAGCUCACCAAGGCGAUGAUCAGUAGCUGGUCUGAGAGGACGAUCAGCCACACUGGGACUGAGACACGGCCCAGACUCCUACGGGAGGCAGCAGUGGGGAAUUUUGGACAAUGGGGGCAACCCUGAUCCAGAAAGGCCGCGUGAGUGAAGAAGGCCUUCGGGUUGUAAAGAAAGUUUGUCAGGGAAGAAACAGCAGCUCUAACACAGUUUGCGAAUGAC